rnacentral:rRNA from 1 species
UACGGGGGGGGCAAGCGUUGUUCGGAAUUACUGGGCGUAAAGGGCGCGUAGGCGGUUGGAUAAGUCAGUUGUGAAAACCACGGGCUUAACUCGUGGCCUGCAGUUGAGACUGUCUGGCUUGAGUGUGGGAGAGGAGAGUGGAAUUCCUGGUGUAGCGGUGAAAUGCGUAGAUAUCAGGAGGAACACCGGUGGCGAAGGCGGCUCUCUGGACCACAACUGACGCUGAGGCGCGAAAGCUAGGGGAGCAAACAGG